rnacentral:rRNA from 1 species
UACAGAGGUCUCAAGCGUUGUUCGGAUUCAUUGGGCGUAAAGGGUGCGUAGGUGGCGUCGUAAGUCAGGUGUGAAAUUUCGGAGCUUAACUCCGAAACUGCAUUUGAUACUGCGGUGCUUGAGGACUGGAGAGGAGACUGGAAUUUACGGUGUAGCAGUGAAAUGCGUAGAGAUCGUAAGGAAGACCAGUGGCGAAGGCGGGUC